rnacentral:rRNA from 1 species
AGUGGCGGACGGGUGAGUAACGCGUGAGAAUCUGCCUUGGGGUCGGGGACAACCACUGGAAACGGUGGCUAAUACCGGAUAAGCCGAUUGGUGAAAGAUUUAUUGCCCGAAGAGGAGCUCGCGUCUGAUUAGCUAGUUGGUGAGGUAAGAGCUCACCAAGGCAGCGAUCAGUAGCUGGUCUGAGAGGACGAUCAGCCACACUGGGACUGAGACACGGCCCAGACUCCUACGGGAGGCAGCAGUGGGGAUUUUCCGCAAUGGGCGAAAGCCUGACGGAGCAAGACCGCGUGAGGGAGGAAGGCUCUUGGGUUGUAAACCUCUUUUCUCAGGGAAGAAGCUCUGACGGUACCUGAGGAAUCAGCCUCGGCUAACUCCGUGCCAGCAGCCGCGGUAAUACGGAGGAGGCAAGCGUUAUCCGGAAUUAUUGGGCGUAAAGCGUCCGCAGGUGGCGAUUCAAGUCUGCUGUCAAAGCACGGGGCUUAACUCCGUAAAGGCAGUGGAAACUGAAUAGCUAGAGUGCCGUAGGGGUAGAGGGAAUUCCCGGUGUAGCGGUGAAAUGCGUAGAGAUCGAGAAGAACAUCGGUGGCGAAAGCGCUCUACUGGACGGCAACUGACACUCAGGGACGAAAGCUAGGGGAGCGAAUGGGAUUAGAUACCCC